CUGGUUAAUUUUACGUGUGGUCAGUGGAAUUUUACUUACAAAAAGGAAUGUUAAACUGCCUCAAAGACCUCGACUGAACCUGGGAAAGGCUCCUGGAUUUUGGUGGUCCAUUAAGCCCUUAAAAACAUCUCCAUGUAAAUGGUGAGAAAAAUGAUAAACAUUCUCUAGUUGUCUAAAAAAAAUGCAAGAGAAAUAAGAAUGAGAUUUUCUAUCUGACUGCUGUUUUUACUUUUAUUCCCCCGUGCCUAUUUGGCUUAACAUCUUC
rnacentral:lncRNA from 1 species